UACGUAGGUCCCGAGCGUUGUCCGGAUUUAUUGGGCGUAAAGCGAGCGCAGGUGGUUUAUUAAGUCUGGUGUAAAAGGCAGUGGCUCAACCAUUGUAUGCAUUGGAAACUGGUAGACUUGAGUGCAGGAGAGGAGAGCGGAACUCCAUGUGUAGCGGUGAAAUGCGUAGAUAUAUGGAGGAACACCGGUGGCGAAAGCGGCUCUCUGGCCUGUAACUGACACUGAGGCUCGAAAGCGUGGGGAGCGAACAGG
rnacentral:rRNA from 1 species